rnacentral:precursor_RNA from 1 species
UGCGUAACUCCAGAAAGUGCCAUUCACAUGACCAGAGUGGCCCCUGGGGUUGUGCAGU